UUUUAAGGAGAAUGCAACAGGUUCCAGGGCCUCUUACCUGCGUGAUUGAUCAUCCAGGUUUUGCACAAAUUGUCCAAAUCCCUACACACAGAACAUUUAUUGUACCGACUAUAAGCCUUUGAGGCGCAGGACUAGAAUAUGCUUGGAGCUUCCUGAUCGGAAUGUUGGCUUCCGAUGACCCCUGCACUGAAGAUGGCAUGCAAUCACGUCCUCCUUUGAAGGUCUCUCAAACUGUGAUGCCAGGUCCAUUGGAAUCGGGGUUUCCUUCAGCUUAUCUUCAAAUACCUCAGCAAACACAAGCCUGAUCACAUCAUCCACAUAACUGUACAAAUAUUGCAGUCAAUAAAUCUUUUGUUUUGAUCAUUUAUUUCCCUGCUUCAUACAUUAAGUUUUUAAUUAUGAAUGUAUUUGAAAUAAAACAUUACUGCUUACAGUA